GGCCUCUUUGUGUGGUCCAAGAGUUAGUGGUGUGUCAGACUGUGACAUGGGACACGAGUGGCACACGGAGCAGGGAGGACUGAGGCAGCUCCAGUACAUCUGCACAAAUCCACAGCCAUCCACAAGUGGCACAUGUGGUCAUGGAGCUGGAAGGGGAAUAUGAGAUUGUCUUGAGUGAACCAUGAAAAUCUAAAUGCCAGUUUGUGCUGUGCUGUAGCAGAGCAGAAGUAAACCUCUUUAGAGCUGGUGAAUGUGAUGAGCCUUCCAUGCAAGCAUGAACUUCAGGGAUGGAACUGAGCUGCUAUUACCAGGCAGACACUGGAUACUGUAGCUGCAGUCACUGGAGCUGUGGGAUUUCUCCCUCAGCACCACACACUGCAUGGUGCUCAAAUCCCUGCAGAGCCUGUCAGGGAACACCCAUUUGUCUGCAAGUGCAUGCUGUAAACUGGUAAGCUUGACUUUCCAAAAUUAAGAGGAGGAGAGUUUCCCAGAGGCUCGAUUGGGCAUCACUUCCUUUGCCUU